GGCGCGCGCGCCGCUUCCGCCGGCGCAGCUCGGCAGCACCUCGGGGAUCCAGCGCACGCAGCCCGGGGGUGGGGCCGCAAGGGGGGCCGGAGCGGGGCUGCAGUCUCGGCAGGGCCGCAUCGGUUGUCAAGGGAACGGCGGCCUAAGUAGGUGUGACGUCAGCGGGCGGAGAGUUGGCCGCAAUGCGGCGAGGGGCGGAUUCCCGGAGCCUGGAUUUCAGGCGGCAGCCUGGGGUGUGUGGCCGCUGAGCUGCCAGCCCGCCCCUGCUGGGCUGGCAAGCUGCUUCGCCCAGCCCGGCGUCGGCUCCAGUGGGACGGGCUGUCGGCCGCCCUGCGCUCUCCUCCCUGAUGUCAACCUGGUGCUGAUAGUGAACCUGUGAAAGCCUUCUUAUUUACAUCUGAGAAAAGGUUUCUGCCCCUCCAUAAACAGCUUUGCAUAUGUGACUUCCUGAUGGCAGACCCAGCGAACUCUCUUCAGAACUUGCAGCAACUCUUGGUACUGCACAGUGUACAUCACCUCUUUCCUAAAACCCUUUUCCCUUUGGUUACUUCUCCCAAUUUACCACCUGCCCCUCCGAUGUAUUUUUACUUUAUUUUGUGGGCUCCCAGAGUUCUGUAUUUAGCACUUCUUUUUCUUGCAACCA